rnacentral:rRNA from 1 species
UGGGGAAUAUUGGACAAUGGGCGAAAGCCUGAUCCAGCCAUGCCGCGUGUGUGAAGAAGGCCUUUUGGUUGUAAAGCACUUUAAGCGAGGAGGAGGCUACUUAGAUUAAUACUCUAGGAUAGUGGACGUUACUCGCAGAAUAAGCACCGGCUAACUCUGUGCCAGCAGCCGCGGUAAUACAGAGGGUGCGAGCGUUAAUCGGAUUUAUUGGGCGUAAAGCGUGCGUAGGCGGCUUUUUAAGUCGGAUGUGAAAUCCCUGAGCUUAACUUAGGAAUUUCAUUCGAUACUGGGAAGCUAGAGUAUGGGAGAGGAUGGUAGAAUUCCAGGUGUAGCGGUGAAAAGCGUAGAGAUCUGGAGGAAUACCGAUGGCGAAAGCAGCCAUCUGGCCUAAUACUGACGCUGAGGUACGAAAGCAUGGGGAGCAAACAGG